ACGGAAGGCAGCAGUGGGGGAUAUUGCACAAUGGGGGAAACCCUGAUGCAGCGACGCCGCGUGAGUGAAGAAGUAUUUCGGUAUGUAAAGCUCUAUCAGCAGGAAAGAUAAUGACGGUACCUGACUAAGAAGCACCGGCUAAAUACGUGCCAGCAGCCGCGGUAAUACGUAUGGUGCAAGCGUUAUCCGGAUUUACUGGGUGUAAAGGGAGCGUAGGUGGCCAUGCAAGUCAGAUGUGAAAUCCCGGGGCUCAACCCCGGAGCUGCAUUUGAAACUGCGUAGCUAGAGUGCAGGAGAGGUAAGCGGAAUUCCUAGUGUAGCGGUGAAAUGCGUAGAUAUUAGGAGGAACACCAGUGGCGAAAGCGGCUUGCUGGACUGCAACUGACACUGAGGCUCGAAAGCGUGGGGAGCAAACAGGAUUAGAUACCCUGGUA
rnacentral:rRNA from 1 species